rnacentral:rRNA from 1 species
UACGGGGGGGGGCAAGCGUUGUUCGGAUUCAUUGGGCGUAAAGGGUGUGUAGGUGGCGCCGUUAGUCGGGUGUGAAAUUUCGGAGCUUAACUCCGAAACUGCAUUCGAUACUGCGGUGCUUGAGGACUGGAGAGGAGACUGGAAUUCAUGGUGUAGCGGUGGAAUGCGCAGAUAUCAGGAAGAACACCGGUGGCGAAGGCGGCUCUCUGGGCCUUACCUGACGCUGAGGAGCGAAAGCGUGGGGAGCGAACAGG